rnacentral:rRNA from 1 species
GACAGAGGGUGCAAACGUUGUUCGGAAUUACUGGGCGUAAAGCGCGUGUAGGCUGCUCGGAAAGUCGGAUGUGAAAGCCCUGGGCUCAACCUAGGAAGUGCAUUCGAAACUUCCGAGCUGGAGUGCUGGAGAGGAAGGCGGAAUUCUCGGUGUAGAGGUGAAAUUCGUAGAUAUCGAGAGGAACACCGGUGGCGAAGGCGGCCUUCUGGGACAGCAACUGACGCUGAGACGCGAAAGCGUGGGGAGCAAACAGG